GCCUUGUGGUAUGGCAGAAGUACACCAACGUUUCAGAGGCCCCUGCUGCCUCCAUCAUUAGGACGACGAGUUAUAAAACAAGAACCUCUGAAACGUUUUAAAAUUCCACCAAAAUACACGGCGCGGUCAUUCCAGACGACAGCCAUUUUUGGACUGUGUCGUGAGAACCUCAAAUCCUACCAAUUGACGGCACCUUUGACUGCCUGAAGAAGAAUCCUCCCGAUUUCGGAGAGUGCCACGAAGCGUGUAUCAAGCAGCAUUAUGAUGGUGGAGGCAUGUGCAGCAAAAAGAAAUGUUAUUGCGCUUACAAGUUAAAUUAAAGCAAUUUGUCGACUGAAUUCUGUGAAGUUAAUUUGUGUAUGUUGACAAAUAAAAGCACACAUGCGA